GACGAACGCUGGCGGCGUGCCUAAUACAUGCAAGUCGAGCGAGCGGAACUAACAGAUUUACUUCGGUAAUGACGUUAGGAAAGCGAGCGGCGGAUGGGUGAGUAACACGUGGGGAACCUGCCCCAUAGUCUGGGAUACCACUUGGAAACAGGUGCUAAUACCGGAUAAGAAAGCAGAUCGCAUGAUCAGCUUUUAAAAGGCGGCGUAAGCUGUCGCUAUGGGAUGGCCCCGCGGUGCAUUAGCUAGUUGGUAAGGUAAAGGCUUACCAAGGCGAUGAUGCAUAGCCGAGUUGAGAGACUGAUCGGCCACAUUGGGACUGAGACACGGCCCAAACUCCUACGGGAGGCAGCAGUAGGGAAUCUUCCACAAUGGACGCAAGUCUGAUGGAGCAACGCCGCGUGAGUGAAGAAGGUUUUCGGAUCGUAAAGCUCUGUUGUUGGUGAAGAAGGAUAGAGGUAGUAACUGGCCUUUAUUUGACGGUAAUCAACCAGAAAGUCACGGCUAACUACGUGCCAGCAGCCGCGGUAAUACGUAGGUGGCAAGCGUUGUCCGGAUUUAUUGGGCGUAAAGCGAGCGCAGGCGAAAGAAUAAGUCUGAUGUGAAAGCCCUCGGCUUAACCGAGGAACUGUAUCGGAAACUGUUUUUCUUGAGUGCAGAAGAGGAGAGUGGAACUCCAUGUGUAGCGGUGGAAUGCGUAGAUAUAUGGAAGAACACCAGUGGCGAAGGCGGCUCUCUGGUCUGCAACUGACGCUGAGGCUCGAAAGCAUGGGUAGCAAACAGGAUUAGAUACCCUGGUAGUCCAUGCCGUAAACGAUGAGUGCUAAGUGUUGGGAGGUUCCCGCCUCUCAGUGCUGCAGCUAACGCAUUAAGCACUCCGCCUGGGGAGUACGACCGCAAGGUUGAAACUCAAAGGAAUUGACGGGGGCCCGCACAAGCGGUGGAGCAUGUGGUUUAAUUCGAAGCAACGCGAAGAACCUUACCAGGUCUUGACAUCUAGUGCCAUUUGUAGAGAUACAAAGUUCCCUUCGGGGACGCUAAGACAGGUGGUGCAUGGCUGUCGUCAGCUCGUGUCGUGAGAUGUUGGGUUAAGUCCCGCAACGAGCGCAACCCUUGUUAUUAGUUGCCAGCAUUAAGUUGGGCACUCUAAUGAGACUGCCGGUGACAAACCGGAGGAAGGUGGGGAUGACGUCAAGUCAUCAUGCCCCCUAUGACCUGGGCUACACACGUGCUACAAUGGGCAGUACAACGAGAAGCGAGCCUGCGAAGGCAAGCGAAUCUCUGAAAGCUGUUCUCAGUUCGGACUGCAGUCUGCAACUCGACUGCACGAAGCUGGAAUCGCUAGUAAUCGCGGAUCAGCACGCCGCGGUGAAUACGUUCCCGGGCCU
rnacentral:rRNA from 1 species